GACGAACGCUGGCGGCGUGCUUAACACAUGCAAGUCGAACGGAAAGGCCCUGCUUUUGUGGGAUGCUCGAGUGGCGAACGGGUGAGUAACACGUGAGUAACCUGCCCUUGACUUUGGGAUAACUUCAGGAAACUGGGGCUAAUACCGGAUAGGAGCUCCUGCUGCAUGGUGGGGGUUGGAAAGUUUCGGCGGUUGGGGAUGGACUAGCGGCUUAUCAGCUUGUUGGUGGGGUAGUGGCUUACCAAGGCUUUGACGGGUAGCCGGCCUGAGAGGGUGACCGGCCACAUUGGGACUGAGAUGCGGCCCAGACUCCUACGGGAGGCAGCAGUGGGGAAUAUUGCACAAUGGGCGGAAGCCUGAUGCAGCAACGCCGCGUGCGGGAUAACGGCCUUCGGGUUGUAAACCGCUUUCGCCUGUGACGAAGCGUGAGUGACGGUAAUGGGUAAAGAAGCACCGGCUAACUACGUG
rnacentral:rRNA from 1 species